rnacentral:rRNA from 1 species
UACGUAGGGUGCGAGCGUUUGUCCGGAAUUACUGGGCGUAAAGGGCGCGUAGGUGGCGAUCCAAGUCCAUGGUGAAAGCUCGAUGCUCAACAUCGAGUCGGCCACGGAUACUGGGUUGCUUGAGCACUGUAGGGGCAGAUGGAAUUCCGGGUGUAGCGGUGGAAUGCGUAGAGAUCCGGAAGAACACCGGUGGCGAAGGCGGUCUGCUGGGCAGUUGCUGACACUGAGGCGCGACAGCGUGGGGAGCAAACAGG